GUGUCGCUUGUAUCGACGAAACUGGUGCGCGCGUACACGUGGUCGUUUGCACCUGUGGUGUAAAACUUCGUGGAUUUUGGCAAACGAGAGCUUGUUAAAAACAGAGAAUUCAAUUGUUGACACUGGAGAUUGAGUGGAUUCUCGGUAUUUCGUGAAAAUCUACGUUGUUUUAAGAGUUUGGAUAUCAGUGGUUGCACAUUUACGAGGUUAGGUUAGAUUGAAUUAUUUCGGAUUAAAAGAACAAUGGAAAAAUGAAUAGCCGUGAUUCUAAACUCUCGAGAUUUGAUUAAAUGUAUUCACAUUCUACAAUGAAUUUUUCAAUCGGAAGUCUGUGAAAUUACGAUUAUCUUUUUCGUUGGGAGAAAGAAUCAGUUUGCUAAAAAUUUCAUAGUAUAUCGAUUAUCUAUACGGAGAAUAGAAUACGGAUUAGUUUUCCGAUUUUAUCUACUCGUUCAGCUUUGCUGAAAUCAGUUCGCGAUAUCACGUAUAAUGCUGCUAUCGGAAAAGAUUUGAAUUUCGAAAUUUGGAAGUAUAAAAUUACAGCACGAUGGAUUAGUCAUGCUAUCUAAAUCGUCAAAAAAGAAUUUGAAACAUCUUUAUUCUAUUAUUCUUACUUGUUGAUUUAUUUCAUUUUUCGACACUUAACCUAAAAACUAAAAAACCUUAAACUAUCCAAAAUUUCGCUCGUGCAAAUAUCAUCCUUCGCUAUUCGCUUCGAACUGAACAUCAUCGAUUUAUGAAGAGGUAUACCUAUUUGGAAGAUUGAACGUGGAGCACUGUUACCUUCGAGAAGUAGGAGUUUCUCAAGGACCUCACCUUGGCAAUAUCCAAAGCGAAGAGGAGUUAAGGUCAAGAGAGCAUCCUCAGCGGGAAAGAGAAUGAGAUAUUAGUCCUUCGAGUCCCUCGAAAUUACAAACGAGAAGGCUGCGUCUGGAAUAGGUCGGGCCUUCGACUAGAAGAAUCGUUUUUUCCCGCGGAGAGAUUUGUGUCGGCCAAGAGUUUGGUAUCUGGGACUCGAAGCUACCCACGUCUUAUCCUAUCCGCCUACACGUAAAACACUCCCCUUCCGUAUCUGCGUUUCGAGAUCCUGCACACCAAGGCUGGAAACCAUCUAACCUCUUGGACGAGACGAGGCUGUUACGGGAGAGAAGAAGGGUAGGCAGAGUCCUUCCUCACCAGAGACAGGUCUCGUGGUAUCCAAGAGUGGUAAUAUCUUAAGGAAAGUCAAUAGCUUCGGGCCAAGAUCGCACUUUUUUCCAUCGCCUAUCACUUCGUUUUUCCAUCCUAUUCUUCCCCCCAAGCUUGACAGAUUCGUUCUUCCAAGCGCUUUUGUGGCGUCGAAUAAAAAUUCAGAUUAGGGGAUCCUCUCCUCCUGAGUCUGUUUCUCUUUUUGAGUAUCUAAUCGAAUAUUUUAUUCGCACAAUUUGACGACAAUCAAUUAUUUAACUCUAUCGUUUUGAUUCUAUGAAAGAGAGAUUAGUCGAAUUGAAGAUGGCUUUAAUUAAUCAGGAUAAAUAAUUCAUAUAUAAUUAGAAAAUUGUUUAAUAACAAUUUCUAACGAAUCAAAUUGAUUACGACUGUAUAUUCCGACUAUGACUCGAGUUAAGAGAUGGGUUAUUACGAUGCAAGAUUGAAUCGAUGUCAAAAGUGAUAGAAGAGGUUAUGUUAUUUGCGCAAGUGAGACACAUGGUUGAUUUGCAAUGUAGAAUAUACGAUGUUUGCGAAACAGUUGCAGGUAAACCGUGAAUUUUUCAAAACGUCCAUGGUUCUUUCCAUACACAAAUACGAAAUUUACAUCGAAAUAGAGAAACUGGAAUAGAAUACGUAUCUUCUGUACAUCAUUGAAGCGAAACUUCAAAAUUUGAAUUUUACGUUCCCGUUUACAUUUAAAAAUCUUGAAAAACACUCUUGAAACGAAAUUAUUCAUUCCGAAAUUUUGUCAAAAAUAUGAUAAAUGUCUCAAGACUUGAUUUGCAACGUGAAAAUACGUGUAAUUUGAUAUAUCUAACGUUUCUUAAUUAUCCUAUUUUUAUAAUUUAAUUUCAAGCCUCUCUUUCCAAACUUGCAAUCUUUCUUUGUUAAACAAGUAGCUCCUUGCAAGCACAUAUUUCGAAAUGUAUCGAAAUACGAGCUGCUCAGGAUCAAUAUUUGAAGAUAUUCUAGCCUCUCUAGCAACACUAGAAGACAAUAAUAUUAAAAAUCAGAACCCUCGACAUCAUUUGACUCUCUUUUGAAUCUCGACUUCUCCCUCUCUUUACAGAUCAAAAAAUCCCUUAAACACAUACACAUUUUCCAUUUCAUCCAAGAUUAUUCAUCGAAAUACUCUCGACCAUCGAUACCAAUCAUCAUCCUAAGGCGAAACGAAAAUUUAAACGAAUUAUUGCAAAUGAAAAAUCUUGAACUCGUUUUAAAUUAAUUCCUCCCCCAACGGUAGACAAUCUUCCAAGGAAAGAAGGGGGCAGAACGAGAAAACGAGAGAGAGAGAGAAGUGGACAAAUAUAAGCCGGACGAAAUCCCGGAAUAAACGCGGGGAGAAAAUCGAUCAGGCCGGAAAUACCGAGCGCAGACGGUUUAAGGAUGAAAAGGAAAGGGGGUUGGUGCGAAGGGGUUGGCGCGCGAACGAGGCCUUCGAGCGAAGCAGAGCGAAACGCGGUUACAGAAGUAGAACGAAGGACGCGUGCAUAUAGGGCGAGGGGGAGGAGUUCGAGGCGGGGGAAACGGGUCGUCGGGGGACGGCACAGGACGUGGAAAUGGAAGAAGCCCCGAGGACGAUGGCGUGUGCCGCCUCGCCGCCUCUCUAAUGCAACAUGACGCGAUACCGGACUUAUGCUUCUGCUGAAGGCUUGGAAAACUGGGAAGAGGUUCCUGAAACGAUCGAUCGAUCCAUUUUCCUUUCCAAAUAAUCGCGAUCGUCGAGGAGAUACUGCAAAAUCGGAUCGAAGCUUGAUUUAAAAGUGUAUAUAUAUACUGAAAAUUCGAAGUUCAACGCGUCCUUGUCCGUGGCUCAAAGGUAACUAGUUGGGAAGGUGGAGGGACUGCAAGCUCCGCUAUUAGGUAGAUCAAAAACCAAUAUGGAACGUUCUACUUUCGAGUACAGAGCCACUUGUCCAUUAGCGGCGAAAAGGAAUCUAUCUAUCGGUAAAGUCUUGGAUUACCAAUUUCUGACUAAUAAAAUCACCCGAGAGCUAAGAUUUGAAAAUGGCUCUUGAAUUACCUCCUUUAUUCGUUAAUGAACUACUCCUAGAUAGCUCGAAGGCCCGAUUAACCGAUUAAAAGAUAUCGUUGUUCUCUCGAGAACAACCCUGAUCGCCCCUUCCCCGACCUUCUCAACACCCAAAUCCUCGAGGAGAGGAAAGCAAUCGACUUUAAAUUACGCGCGAUGAAAUUUACCGCAGGAUUCGCAGGAAAACGUCGCGCGCUUCCCUCUCCUCCCGUCGUGUCGCGUUUCCACGAGGGAUACGAAGGAGAAGGGGAGGAGAGGGGGCGAGGAAGAGGCGAAGAUGAGAAGAACAGGAGAGAAGGACGAGGGAUAAACGCGGGAGGAGCUCGGCUGGGGGAGGGUGAUCACGUGAGGGAUGGCGUGUUGCCUCUGUGCGCCGCUGGUUAUAUCGCGGACCCUGGAUCCAGGGGCGAGGGAGGGCAAAGAAUUAUACUACGUGCCUGGAGUGUCAAGUCGCGGGGGUGCUUUAUGGUGGAACCAGCCGUUCGAGCUUGUGCAUCCACCGCCAUCGCGAAUUGCUCCGUCUCUCCCUCUCUCUCUCCUGCGUCUUCGAGCCUGUUAAUGGCCGCCUACCCCUUUGAAUACAUCGCUUCAGGUAUUCGAACGAUUUUCGAAUUCCCUUCUACUUUUCCCCAGAUUUGUUGUAACGUGUCGCGUGCAAAGAGAAAAGUAACCGUAAAAGAUGAAUAAGAAAUGAUUUUUCUUCCGAGGGUAAAUUCGAAUUAUUAUUAGGAAUUUAAUUUAAAGCUAUCCCGACGAAUAACCUUCCAAUGAUCUUCAACUCCUCCUUUCUUGUAUUUUUGGAAUUUUCCGGUGAAGGGAGGGCACGAUUGAACGGAGCGAGGUAGAAAACGUUCGCUAAUUAAAAUUCGAUUCUUCGCCGGUGUUUUCUCUUUCUCUUUUUUUCUUUUCGCGAAUAAUAAAGCAAAGGGGGGGGGGAUCUAUAAUGAAUCGAGGCAAGCUUGCGACGUGUUUGGUUUUGCUUUAGAAGGAGUGCGGAAAUAUACCGCAUCCUCGCGGGGCAAAGAAAAACAAUGAGGAGCCGAGCGCGUUGGAAAAGGUAAACUGAAAACUAAACUUGAAAAGCUAUUGCCUGUAUACCCUCUCAAACACGGCUUCGGGAUCGGUGUCAAGUGUCCGUGGACAAAUAUUUACAGGCUACGUUUGCCCUAAUCUUUGAACCUUUUAAAUCGCCGUACGGGAAGGACAAAGAUUCCUCCUCGACGAUGAUGGAAAAUCCUUAAACUCUUUCUCUCUUUUUUUUUUUUUCUUCACUCGCGUUAUUUCAUCAAACUGUCCACCUUCUUGACAGUUUCGUUCUAUCGAUUGGAAUUUAACUUUUGUACAACUGCCUGCCAAUCAACUUCCUUCUUCCUCAUCGAUCUUAACGAGCUCGAUACGAGAUAAUAUGAUCGUUCUUUGGAAAAAAAAAUAAUAUCUCACGAGCCUGUAGAUAUUAAUCUCUCGACUCGUGCUCGAAUAUAUUUUUUUUUUUAUGUCUAGGAUACAUCUUUAAAAACGAAUCGCAUGAUUCCAAGUAGAAAAACGUGUCAAUGACCAAUUUUGUUUCAAAAAUUACUAAAUACAAAUACUUCUCCUUCGUCUUCUCCUCCCAAAAUCCCGAUCAAUAUUCUCAUUCGCAUUCCUUCGAGACGACCCUUUAACCAAGAUUACGCCUUAUCCAGAUUAUCUAAUUGGCAAAAAGGGGUUGAUCCGCGUAAGGGUAAAUUAACCGCGCUAUCGUGAUUCCGUGGAAUGGAAACCGUGGAGAGAAACGUCACCGUCGUUUGAUCGAAACGUUUCGUACACACCGUCGAAGGGAACCCCGUUCUAUUUUCAGCAAAAACACGAAUCGUAAGCAAAGGGAGGAAACGGAGACAGAGAGGGAGGGAGGGAAAGAGAGAGAGAGACAGGGAAUGCGCUUUCGUGCACAGCAAACGUUGAAACAAUGGAGGAAGAAUAGGGACCAGGACGAGGGAUAUGAUGAAAAUGGAUGGCAAAUUUUUUUUUUUUUUUUUUGACGAGCGAAACACACGGUGCAGUGUGUAGUUUUAAAAGCGUGUUUCUAUUAGACGCCGGCCACCCCCAAAGCUUGGAGCAGCAUUUUGCGCGCAACCUUCACCGGAAGUAAAUGGAAAAUUCCAUGAAGGCAAAGCCAGCUCUACUUAACCGGGGACAAAAUGAGAGGGGGAGGGAAAAAUUUUCGCCAACACGCGGGGGGGGAUUUUUAAUUUGAAUUUCCACGGUUUAAAUCGCGUUAAUUGCGUGUGUCCGUUACGCGCCAUUUUUAAUAAAAAUUCAAAAUUUAUUUACAGGAUCGGAUCAUUAAUUCCAUUGUUGGAACAAGCUUCGUUAAAGGGAGAGGGAGGGGAAGAAAGAAAGGAAACUUCGUAGAAUUUAUUUUGCGUUUAUGAAUCUUUCAGAAUGUCGGGUUACGUGUAAAUUGUUGUAUUAAUAUUAAUGAUAAUGCGCACAGCAGUUUGGUAAAACGAUAUCGUACAUGCAACACCCGUGCAAAUAAAUCUUUCGUGGCACAUUAUCCGUUAUAGGAAGGAAUUUUUUCGAUCGUCGAAUCGAAAGUAAAAAUAAUGGAAAUGGAAAAACAUUUCGACUCGAGAGAAUAAUCAUUUUUCUAUAGAAUAAAAAAUGAUAAUCCUCCCCUCGAAUUACUCUUUCGAUGACACGACCAGCCUCCUUAAAACCGUUAAAUUUAUUCACCUCUCAUUUCGUGCUCCGUUCAAAAUCCUUAUUUCGAAAGUUCUCGAGCCUGAUUUCACACCCAAUCCUUCUUCUUCAUCCCUCGUGAACGUGUCAUCCCCCGCCAACUUGCCCCCUCCUCUCAAAACAUAAAUCCAACGUGACCCUAACUCCAACAGUGCCAAAGUUGUAAAAUCUCGAGACUCACCGCUACAUCGAUGAUCGCCAACUUUAUCAUUCUAAUCGAGAAGAGGGGGCUACGAUCAAUGACGACAAUUUAAUUGCGUAAAUGACGCUUUUAAUUCCAGAUAAAUCAGGAUAUUUCUUCUUCCAUGUCGCAUAAUUCUUCGUGGACGAUCGGAGUGUCGUUUGUUUCUUAAGAAUAUUCUUAAGAGAUGCUCAAAAGUCUCUGCUUUUAACGAAAUAAUAAUUAUAAGGUUUAUAAAACGAAAAUCUCUUUGAAGGGAUAAAAUUUUACUCUUAGACGCAAACAGAGGGACGCAGAGAGUAUUAAUAAACGCAUCUCAUUUCAUCAGAGCUCGUGUUAAUUUCUUUGAUUUUUCUUAUUAAUUUAUAUAUAUAUAAAAAAAAAUUACUCGAAUAUCGCGAACAAAUAUCAAAAACAAUUGAAGAAAAAAAGAAAAAAAGGAAGUAAACGAGAACGCAAAUCUUCGAAUUCGAAACUUUCCACUUCGAUGAUGCACUCGCUUCCCAAGUCGAAAUCAGUUUCGCGCGAAAAUACACCCAGAUCGUAACUUAACGUUUAGCAUUCCGAUUCCACGGAAUAUUGGAUUACGAUAUAGUGUGGUGAUAUCAGGGUUUGAUUCGAUCUUCGAUCAACUUCAAUUCUGGAACUCGUUUGUCCUUUGAUGGCGAGUUCCGGUUGCCGGAUCGAUCCAGCCGGGAGGGGAACGAACGCGAUAUCGUUGGAUUUUGGCCGUUUAUGAAUUUUCUUGUUAAAGGGAGUGUGGGUAUUUGGUCUGGUUUGCGAAUUGAAUGAAUAAUCGAUAUGGCGAGGGGUGUUGGUGUUUCCACGGGAAAUGGAAGUUUGAAGUGGCGAUCGGUUGGCAAAACCUUACUAUUGCUGUUCGUGGUGGAUGGGCAUUUGAAAAAGCUUGUUGUUUUUCAAAUUAAGGAACGUUUUGACUUGUAAAUGAAAUAAAACGGAGAUGUUUUUAAAAAAAUAAUAAGUUUGAAACUAUUAUAUCCCCUAGCGUGUCAUUUAGGGACCCCUAGAAUUCGGGAUUUGUAACGAAAAAGUAAAAUCCUCGCAGGAACAUAAUUUCACGUGAUCAUUAAUACAAGAUCUUUUGCAUUCUUUCAGAGUUUCCAUGAAAACGUGAAAGACUCGUUAAAGUUGACGAUAGAUAGAUAGAAAGAUCGAAGAAAUACAAAAUGAAAUCUGUAACGAUUGGAUUAAAUUUCUAUCACCGAGAAAAAGGCCAGAUAAAAGUUGUUGCUGUUGCUUUUAAGUUGGAAUUGUAAAUAGAAAUGUUUUUAAAAAAUAAUUUUGGGCGUGAAACUACUUGAUUAUAUCCUUAACGAUCUAGGGAUCCCUAGAAUUCGAGAUUUGAAACGAAAAUGCAGAAUCUCCGUAGGAACAUAAUUUCACGUGAUCAUUAACGUAAGAUCCUUUGCAUUUCUCUUUCAGAGUUUCCGUGAACGACUCAUUAAAGUUGACGAUAGAUAGAAAUACAAAAUGAAAUCUGUAACGAUUCGAUUAAAUUUUUAUCAUCAAGAAGAAAA